GACGAACGCUGGCGGCGUGCUUAACACAUGCAAGUCGAACGGAAAGGCCCUGCUUUUGGGGGGUGCUCGAGUGGCGAACGGGUGGGUAACACGUGCGUAACCUGCCCUUGCCUUUGGGAUAACUUCAGGAAACUGGGGCUAAUACCUGCUAGGAGCUCCUGCAGCAUGGUGGGGGUUGGAAAGGUUCGGCGGUUGGGGAUGGACUCGCGGCUUAUCAGCUUGUUGGUGGGGUAGUGGCUUACCCAGGCUUUGACGGGUAGCCGGCCUGAGAGGGUGACCGGCCACAUUGGGACUGAGAUACGGCCAAGACUCAUACGGGAGGCAGCAGUGGGGAAUAGUGCACAAUGGGCGGAAGCCGGAUGCAGCAACGCCGCGUGCGGGAUGACGGCCUUCGGGGUGUAAACCGCUUUCGCCUGUGACGAAGCGUGAGUGACGGUAAUGGGUAAAGAAGCACCGGCUAACUACGUG
rnacentral:rRNA from 1 species